rnacentral:lncRNA from 1 species
AGUCCCCUCAGGUGAGAAGGGUGGGGUAUAAAUAAUUGAAAUAAAUAAAUAAAUAAAUAGAAGAAGCACAGGAUUGCAUGCUUGCUGUUUGUCCUGAAUGUUUUAAAUAUCUUGGCAGUUUCUUAAGUGUGUAGAAAUGCUUAUUUAAUCGCAUGUGAUGAAGUCCUAAGAAUUUCCUACAAAGAAAUUAAUCUUCAAGUGUAUUGGUCUCCUUUAGGUUUUUUCAUUCAUUCCAUGCCAAUAGACUUGACAAGAGAGAACUUCUAAGAACUCCACAUUACUUGGUCCUAAUUUUUACAAAAAAAAAAAUAAUUGGAAGAAUGCGGCUCCAGAGGUGAAAAGUAAAGUUUUCUGCCUACUCAUUUUAUCAAAAAGCAAAAUUCAUGCUCCAAAACCAGGACAUUGAUUCUAGGAAACUGGAAAUCACUUCUCAUUCCACUCUCCACAGGUUACCCACAGGAUUGCCGUUUCCUGUACAAUCCACCCAGAACACUGUGGUUCUCUGCGGGGUGGCUACUGCAGCCAUCAAGAACUCGACUGGCAACCGUCACCCUGAGGAUCUUUUCAUUGGCUGCCCCAAGACCGUGGAAUGACCUGCCAAAAGAAUAUAAAUCUCACCUGAAGAAUAUCUCUUCUGGGAGGCCUACCCAGCCAGUUUUAAUCAUGAAUUUUAAACUCACAUCUGUAAAUUUUAAUACAGUAUAUGUACCUAGUAGAAAUACAUUUCAAUAUGUGUAUUUUAUAUAAUUAUUAUGUGUUUAUUUUAUAUAAUUAUUAUGUGUUUAUAGUUAUGUUGUAACCCCCCUCAAGGAGAGGGGGUAAGAAUUAUUAUUAUUAUUAUUAUUAUUAUUAUUAUUAUUAUUAUUAUUAUUAUUAUUAUUAUUAUUAUUAUUAUCCAAU